rnacentral:rRNA from 1 species
CAUCAGCGGCGAACGGGUGAGUACACGUGGGUGACUUGCCCCGAAGAUGGGGAUACCUCGGGAGGCGGGGGCUAAUACCCAAUGUGCUCGGUGAUUCGGUUCAUCGAGUAAAGCUCCGGCGCUUCGGGAGAGGCCUGCGGCCCAUCAGCUAGUUGGUAGGGUNACGGNCUACCAAGGCAGAGACGGGUAGGGGGCGUGAGAGCGCGGACCCCCACACUGGCACUGAGAUACGGGCCAUACUCCUACUGGAGGCGAGCAGUAAUGGAUAUUGCGCAAUGGACGAAAGUCAGACGCAUCGACGCCGCGUGGGCGAUGAAGGCCUUCGGGUUGUAAAGCCCUUUUAUGGGGGAAGAGAAAAAGGACGGUACCCCAGGAAUAAGUCCCGGCUAACUACGUGCCAGCAGCCGCGGUAAAACGUAGGGGACAAGCGUUAUCCGGAUUCACUGGGCGGUAAGAGCGUUGAGGCGGUUCCGUAAGUUGGGCGUGAAAAGCUCCGGGCUUAACUCGGAGAUGUCGUUCAAUACUGCGGGGCUUGAGGACAGC